GCCAGACUCCUACGGGAGGCAGCAGUGGGGGAUAUUGCACAAUGGGGGAAACCCUGAUGCAGCGACGCCGCGUGGGUGAAGAAGCGCCUCGGCGCGUAAAGCCCUGUCAGCAGGGAAGAAAAUGACGGUACCUGAAGAAGAAGCCCCGGCUAACUACGUGCCAGCAGCCGCGGUAAUACGUAGGGGGCAAGCGUUGUCCGGAAUUACUGGGUGUAAAGGGAGCGUAGGCGGGACUGCAAGUUGGGUGUCAAAUCUACCGGCUCAACCGGUAGCCGCACUCAAAACUGCAGUUCUUGAGUGAAGUAGAGGCAGGCGGAAUCCCUAGUGUAGCGGUGAAAUGCGUAGAUAUUAGGAGGAACACCAGUGGCGAAGGCGGCCUGCUGGGCUUUUACUGACGCUGAGGCUCGAAAGCGUGGGGAGCAAACAGGAUUAGAUACCCCAGUAC
rnacentral:rRNA from 1 species